AUUGAACGCUGGCGGCAUGCUUUACACAUGCAAGUCGAACGGUACAGGCCGCAAGGUGCUGACGAGUGGCGAACGGGUGAGUAAUGCAUCGGAACGUACCCAGUCGUGGGGGAUAACGCAGCGAAAGCUGCGCUAAUACCGCAUACGAUCUAUGGAUGAAAGCGGGGACCGAAAGGCCUCGCGCGAUUGGAGCGGCCGAUGUCAGAUUAGGUAGUUGGUGGGGUAAAGGCUCACCAAGCCAACGAUCUGUAGCUGGUCUGAGAGGACGACCAGCCACACUGGGACUGAGACACGGCCCAGACUCCUACGGGAGGCAGCAGUGGGGAAUUUUGGACAAUGGGCGCAAGCCUGAUCCAGCAAUGCCGCGUGCAGGAAGAAGGCCUUCGGGUUGUAAACUGCUUUUGUACGGAACGAAACGGCUCUGGUUAAUACCUGGGGCUAAUGACGGUACCGUAAGAAUAAGCACCGGCUAACUACGUGCCAGCCGCCGCGGUAAAAC
rnacentral:rRNA from 1 species